rnacentral:rRNA from 1 species
UACGUAGGGUGCAAGCGUUAAUCGGAAUUACUGGGCGUAAAGCGUGCGCAGGCGGCUUUGCAAGACAGAUGUGAAAUCCCCGGGCUCAACCUGGGAACUGCAUUUGUGACUGCAUCGCUCGAGUGCGGCAGAGGGGGAUGGAAUUCCGCGUGUAGCAGUGAAAUGCGUAGAUAUGCGGAGGAACACCGAUGGCGAAGGCAAUCCCCUGUGCCUGCACUGACGCUCAUGCACGAAAGCGUGGGGAGCAAACAGU